rnacentral:rRNA from 1 species
UACAGAGGUCUCAAGCGUUGUUCGGAUUCAUUGGGCGUAAAGGGUGCGUAGGUGGCGCGCUAAGUCAGGUGUGAAAUUUCGGAGCUUAACUCCGAAACUGCAUUUGAUACUGGCGUGCUUGAGGACUGGAGAGGAGACUGGAAUUCACGGUGUAGCAGUGAAAUGCGUAGAUAUCGUGAGGAAGACCAGUGGCGAAGGCGGGUCUCUGGACAGUUCCUGACGCUGAGGCACGAAGGUCAGGGGAGCAAACGGG